CAGAACCUUGGUGAGGAAGAGGAGAAGGAGGUUGGUCCAGGCCUCCCUGUGGCUCUCCGAGGUCAACGCCAAGAAGUAGGCCACUGCCUCGCCGCACACGCUGAACACACACAAAAAAAAAAUGCGUCCCGCCGCGUUUCAUCCGUGUACAUGCGGAAGAGGAUGCGCAGGCCGCACGCCAGACUGCCCGUCUCCUGCUUUAACAGGUUGGGCUUGGACUUGCCUUUGAACCCUACAACGCACAUGCGAGAGGUCGGUCACGCACACGCACUUACGCCGAACUUAGCAGUGGCGCAGCAAGAGUUACCCGCUUUCCACAGCAGCGUCCUCUGCUCGUUGUUGGAGUUGAAGGACUUGGCGAAGCGGUGCGACUCCAUCAGGCAGUCCAGCAGCUUGAAGAGCUGCUGUGACGUCAGGUAGCGGAACAUACCCUGGUCUGGCGCCUCCGCCACCACGUCUGACGCGCAGGCCGCAUUGCGCUUUGGGAAAGAAGAUACAAGGGUGGCGUUUUUUUGUUUUUUUUAGUACAGCUUGACAAUAUUUAGCAGAAUCAAAGAAAUUAAUAUUUAUGUCGGCACCUGCGCUGCGGCAAAGUUUUCAGCAUCUUCCUUCUUGCUGGUGGCCGGGAAGAAGACGAUGUUGUCGAUAGUCUGGAUGAGCUCCAGCUGCACCACGCACUUGAUGAGCAAGGCGGCAAACAAGCGCUGCUCCUGCAACCCUGCGGAGCACCAAAGUUCAUGGUCACAAAAUCGCCUUUCGAGCGGAACGUGACGUUCGUUGUGAGGCAGUGGCCUCUCCUUUCCCACAAGAAUGAGCAUAAAAUGAGAAUUGGCCACUUGGACCUUGGCUUUAUGUAAUGCCCUCCACUCACUGAUGGAGUUUCUGCCCCUGUUGACGUCCUCGCCGGGGGUGGAGGUGACGCCACUCUGCUGGCUCUGGCGACGGCUCUCCACGCUGCCGACAGAGCGCUGGUCGUCCAAGGACUUCAGAGAAAUGGAAUCCUGAGGGGAGAUGGCAUGAUGAAGAUCAAAUGCGAACUGAUCUAAGUGGAAAUAGGCUAGUCUCACCAGCUGCUUGUCGAAGUGCUCGCCUUCUGCUGGUCUCCACGUUAGCAGUCUGAGGCAAACACAGCAUUCAUCACACAUUUAGAAUGGAAGGGGGAGGGUGGUUAAAUAUGGCUUACGCGUGCGGGAUGGUGGUUUUGAAGAUGUCCAGCAUGCAGUUGCACGUCUUGUCCCAUGUCUCGGCGGAGAAUUUCUCGCCGUUCAGGAUGACCACGUUCUCCAGGCAGUUAGUGCCCGAGCGGGCUAGCUGCUCGUUGUCUGCGCACAAAAUGGAGGAUUUAGUAGUUGCCAAAAAAUAAAAAUCCCUUUAAAGCAUAA